AGGUAAAGACCAACUAUAAUUCUUUCCGGGCAUAAGUUGACAAUUCAAUUGCUCAAAGCGAUCAAUGGAUUCGCACGAAGGAAGGUGAAUCCUUCUCGCGUGAAAGAUGCACCCAGACCUGUUUUUAUCUCUGUAUGUAUCUUUACCCCUUGCUUGUACCGAAAAGAAAAAAGAAAUUACAAAUCAUUGAGAUGAUGUGUUUCUAUUAGCUAGUAGAGAGUUUUCUAUUAGAAUGGUAACGUAACCUGAAAUCUAUCCACUAAGCUUUGCGUUGGAUUCGUGCCAAUGCUGUCAUGCAUGAUAUGUGUGGUACGGGCUGGUCAUCCCAGAGAGCACGAAAGGAGCAUAAGACCACCUCAAGCUACCUUAGGCUGCUCAAUAUGCGUCCAUAGCUAAUAAAUGAAUAUAAAGCAUAGCAAAUGGCUCUUAAUCUACGGAUGGCACCACCUUCUGCUAUUUCGGCAAGAGGUUAAGGAUUCAACUCCAAGGAAAUUAUUGGUCGAAUCAGGUUCACUGCUGAGCUGGUAGUCCAACCAGAAAGCAUCAUGGAUAAUCACAGAAAGAAAAAAAAGGGAAAAAAAAAAUGAAGCUUUUGUUCAUGUUGCUUUUUGGUUGGAUUGGUCCACCAACUAAAAAAUUCUCUUAAUUCUAGUUAGGAUCGCUC
rnacentral:lncRNA from 1 species